UAUUCCAUCUCACAGGGAAUGUCCUUUAUGCUUCAGCUCUCUCCAUAUCACAUCUCAGGGGUGUGUAGUUUCUGCUGCAGCUCUUUCCCUAUCACAGUUCAGGGAGAGUGUCCUUUAUGCUUCAGCUCUCUUCCUAUCACAUCUCA